rnacentral:rRNA from 7 species
CCACCUGACCCCAUGCCGAACUCAGAAGUGAAACGCCGUAGCGCCGAUGGUAGUGUGGGGUUUCCCCAUGCGAGAGUAGGGAACUGCCAGGC